CUAUGUUUCCUUGGUUUUCAGUCAUAUGGUCUUGUCUCCUUGCUUUUCUGGGUAUUUUUUCUUUUUCUCUGUUUCUUUCUGUUUUUCUUUCUUUGUCACUUACUGUGUUCAGAUAUUUCUGUUUUUAAAAAAAGUUGUCUGGGGUGGCAGUCCAGCUCAGAGUUACAGCACUUGCCUAACAUACACCAGGCCCUGAGUGUAAUUCUCAGCAUGCAUGCGUGUGCAUGCGCGUGUGCAUACACAUGCACAGAACUGUAAACAUAUGUGAAGUUCUCCAGAGUGGAUCUAUAUUUGCCUGUACUGGCUAGUCCCUGAGACUUGUGUUAAGGAAUUGCUUUAAUCCAGCUUCAUGUGCUGUGCAGCUGAAUGCCUAGGGCCUUUUUUGGCUUAUCAUUGUUCCCAGGGCCCAUCUAGAAGCAGAGACGGUGAGCAGAACAACCCUGGCUUGGUGGUGCUGGGCACUACAUUUGGCCCUGCCUCAUACAGACAUAUUUAACGGCUGUUUAUUGAGCCACAUGUCCUUUCAAUUCCUCCUUUAAAACUGGCAUGUGCUAUAGGAGAAGAAGCUGGCCCCCUUGCCAGGCUCAGAUCCCAUGGUUUCUAUCCUGCCCCAGAUCCUGACCCGGUAAUUUUUUCACUAUCUUUCUUGUUUUCUAUUACUCUGAAACAGACUUUCAGAAAUGUUUUGUUUUGCUCAUUGUCCUCAUUGGAAAGGUAGUUCUGAAUUACCUAUUUUUCCAUUUCCAGAGUAAGAAGUUCUAUGUAAUCUAGGUUUAGCCAAACAUCUCCCUGAGUGGAUAAAUAAUUUUGAAAAAAUUUGCUCUUUACAAAGACUGUGUCUCAGGAUUUCCCUAGUAAUACAAACUUAGUUGAAUGACAAGAAAGGGCAGAGAUGACAUUUCCCUAGCCCCUCAUAGGAGUGUUUCUUCAGGUAUGUUACUGCAGGAAGCCAUGAACAAAAUAGCUUGGCUAAAAAACUUACAAAAUUAUCCAGAAAAUAACAUUUAAUACGGUUAUGAUUUGAAUAAGUGUCUCAAAAAGCAUACAUUGGGAAUUUACUCCUCAGUGCAACAGUGUUGGGAGGUAAAGCCUAAUGGGAGGUGUUUUUGUCAUAAGGUCCCACCUUUAUUAAUGGGUUAAUGCCAGUGAUAAAAGGGUUGAAAGCCAUGAACUUUGUCUCUUGCUCUCUUUCAAAAUGUGAUUCUGGGAUGCAGCAAUAAGGCCCUCUGAAAAUACAGCCUUCAACCUUGGGCUUCCCAGUCUCCAGAGCCGCAAGAAUCUCUUUCUCUCUUUCCCUCUCUUUUUCAUGCUCUCUCUCUACUCCCCUCCUUUUUCCUCUCUCUCUCUCUGUCUUUGUCUCUCUGUCUCUGUCUCUUUCUAUCUCUGUCUCAGCAUCUUCACAGUGAACUGUGUCACCAGCACUUUUAUUUUUUUAAUUUUGACCCAAGUUUUCAUUAAGUUGCCCAGGCUGAGCUCAAACAAAUCUCUCUUCCUUAUAAACAACUCAGUCUCAAGUAUUUUGUUAUAGCAACAGAAAAUAGACUAAGAUAAAUGGCAUGAAUAGAGCAUUUCAAAAAUAGGUAUUUGUAUAAUAUCCAAUAAUUGUGUAACUUUAUGGGCAAAAAUGUAGUAAAUAUGUCCUUUUAAAAACUCUCUGUAUCUAUUUAACUGUAUCUGUAACCUUUUAAAAAUAAGAAAUAAACAGUUCUCAGAGACUUUGAAACAAUUGUUACCAGUUUCUAUAAACAACUAAUACACAUUAAGGAAGAUAGAAAUGUAGUGACCAGUUCUUACUGGAAACUUUAAUUGAGAGAUAUGGUUAAAAAAACAAGUAUCAUACUUUAGUAGGGCUAGCCUUGUUUUUUAAAUCAAGUAGCCUUGAGAGAUAUCUUUUCCAUGUUUACAGCUAUUAAAAGCAGGCAUUACAUAUAACUGACUUUAGAAUCAGACCUUUUGUUCACAAAGAAUUAAAAAAUGAUGAACCUUUUUAAUUAUAUAACUCAUUAAAAUAUUUUUAAUAAAAAUAUCAAAGAUGAGGAUAAAAUGCUUUAUUUUCCUAUUUAAUUACUUUAUAUAUCUACUUAAAAUACUUUAAAAUUCAACUUUACCUUUUUACUUCUAUAUAUUGUGUGUAAUGUAUAUGCUCUAUGAGUAUGUAUUAUAUAUGCUUUGACAGUGACUGCUCACAAAUUUUUUACUGAUUAGUCCAUAAAACUUGAAGGCCAUUAUUUGUGGCUGGUUCUUGAAGAUUGCCUUCUAGACUUUACCAUUUUAGAUAAGAAGGUUUCUACCUACCACCCUUAGCUCUGCUUUCCUACUGCCCCGUUUAUUGAGUUCAUAGUAUUUAUAAAGGAUUAGAAUCAUAUGUUCAUUUAUUUAUCUUUACUAUAUUAUACAAUCCUUGAGAGCAAGUAUUAUGUUUGUUUUAUUUGCUAGCAAUACAAAGAAUACAGUAGAGGUGAUACAAUAUUACUUCUAAGAUCAGGUUAUAAAAGUCACUAUUGCCUCUAAUUUGGUCACUGGCUUUUAUAUUUUCUGCUACCAUGUGCUCUGAAGGAGACCAUUUGCCUUGUUGUGAGUCAUGUCUGUGAAGAAGACUACAUGUCAGAAAUCUGGAGCCUCUAGCUAGCAGCUAUACAAGUAGGCCUGGAAGCAGACUCUCUAGACAAUCAGAGAUCUACAGCUUAACACCCACCUCCUGGGACAAAACCCAUAAAAUUAAGCUACUCCUAGAUCCCUGGCAACUAUCAGCAACUAUAUCAGAAAGGUGCUACCUGAGUCAUUUUCUCCUGCAUCUGGAAUGCUCCUUCCUUUCAUAAGUGAUUUUCUUCAGAUUGGCUGGUAUAUCUGAAGUUUGUCCCCAGUUCCAGAAAGGAAAAGGAAGAAAGAUACCAGUUAGAUGUCAGGUGGGUUCUGUCUCUGUUCAUUUCCCACCAGCUGCCUCCACCUGCCUGAGAUACAGAGACGCAUUCCAGCUGUGAGGCCACACAAACUUUAAACAAAGAAGCCAACCUGGGCUCUUAGAUAUUUUAAAGUUGUAUGGUUUUCUUACCAGUGUUUGGCUCAUUAGCUCUGGAGCAGCUGUGCCGAUGCAGGUAUAGACAAGGCAUGGCCAGUCUCUGUGCGCACUGUUGCUGGUGGUCUGAGCCUACUCACCCUCACCUUCCACAGCUCUGCCUCGGAGCCUAGUCUUGGGAGGUUAGCAUUCUUGCAGUAAUUUCAAGCUGCUGCCAUGAGCUGUGGGCAAAACAACAGGACUUUCUCUAGCGAAUUCAGGGCUGAGUCACACCACUGCCUUUGACUGCUGUUUGCAUGGCUUUGGGGGAGCAUUUUUCCCAAAUAAGGAGACUGGGGAGUCUUCUUGAUUGGGAUGUUCUUCUGCAGCACUAGAGUUGGAAGUGUUUACACAGAUAAUUUCAUAUUGUACAUAUCCUUUAGGUGAAACGCUAAACAUUCCCACUAUAUUGAUUUCCUUAAAUCUGCACUUUAUCCUAUUGAAGAGAGUUAGAGACCCUGAUGCUUAGUAAGUGACUUUGGAAUUGCUUAUACACCUUGUGCCAGGAACAUAGUGAAGAGAGAUUUGACAAGAAGCAGAGGUGGUGGGUGGAGGCUUUGACAGCUCCCAGAGAACCUGCCUUGGGGCUUCAGUUCGGAUAGCUCAUUCUCCUCUACAGCUUUCCUGUGUUUGUGUGGAAUUAGGCUCAGCAAAUUGUUACUUACCUCCACUGGACACUAUUCCCAAUUAGAUGCAGGGGACACCAAAACUAACAGCAUUCUGUCCUUGCCCUCAAGAAGCUCAGAGCUUUGUUGGGACGGGGACUGGUUGUGGUGAUAUCAAGAUGCCUACCAAUAUUUCCUACUCCUUCCCUUGAACUCAAGCAGUUCUUGCUUCUAGCUUUGACUAAUGAAAUGUAUUAGAAGCAAUGUUAUAUAACUGUUACCUUAUAAGAGCCUGACUUCUAAGAAGAGACCGCUAUGAUGUGAGGAAGCCCAAUCCAGCCAUGUCAGAUACAUUUUUUACUCACAGCAUUGUGAACAAAUACAACGGCUGUUGUUGAAGUAGCCUGGUAUAUAGGAGUAGAUAGUAAAAUAAACACAUAUUUUCUUGGGUAAUGAUGGAGCCAUGCAUAGGAUGCUGUAGGAACAUAGAAAGAUAUCCAAGCCAGGCUGUGGCAAUGAAAAUAUGACCAUAGAAUGCUUCCAAAGAAGGUAUGCUUAUGUAGAACAUCCUCUGUAAAGGCCUAAAUUUGAGCCAGGCUUAGGGGAGGGUGAUGCCACCUAGGUACAGGGGAAUAGAGCAUAAAUGUAUGGAGGUGAAGAGCAGCAUGGUACAUAUGCAACAAAUCCUCAAGAAGAUGUAAGGCAGGGAGUCAAAGAGAAAUUUGCAGAGGUGUUUAUAACAAUAGUAAUAGUAGUGAUAGGUAAGUUUUAUUGAACACUUACUAACAGAUAAUUGACAUAGGGUUUUAUAUAAUUUAACCAUUUAAUUCUGUAUCUUUUUACAUUAGAAGAAAAUGAGGAACAAAAAGAGAUGCAGUAACUUGCUCAACAGUAGCCACAAGGGCAGAAUAGAGAUUUGAGACCAAGCAAACUCUUGAAGAUUUUUGUCUCCUUCCUUAAAGAUGCUGGAAUUUGUUCUAUAGGUGAUGAAGGGUGACCCAAUGGUUUUAAAUAAUAGAGUAAUAUGGGCACAUCAAAAUGUGCUAAAGAUUGUAACUUUCCUGUUGCCUUUGCAGUAAAACCUUGGUUUGUGAGCUUAAUUCAUUCACUUGUAUGUCAAGCAUUUUUAUAUCAAUGUGCAUUUCUCUAUGAGAAAUAAUGGAAACUCAGAUGAUUCAUCCCACAAUCCAAAAAUAUUCAUAUAAAAUGACUAUAAUACUGUAAUAUGAUAUGAAAUGUAAAGAAAAUAUGAAAUGUAAAGAGAAAUAAACAAAUUAACUUGCACUUUCCUUUGAAAACUUUUGUAUCUGGUGUGAGGGAGACAAGGGGGAGUGAUUAUGGUGCCGGACAACUUUAACUCUAAUAGAAUCACUGCCAUACGUCGACUCAAUGGAAUCUUUUCUUCUCAUACAACUUUAACAAGGAACCUACCCAGUGACACUUGCUUUUGCCUCCUUUUGAGGAUUUUGGGGAAAUGUGACUGUGUUAGUAACUUUUUUCUCAUUGCUGAGACAAAAUACCCGACACCCAAAGUUAAAGAGGAAACAUUUAUUUAGCUCACAGUUGGUAGAGGUUUAGUCCAUAGUCAUCUGGCUCCAAGGCAGGGUGGUAUGGCAGAGGAAAAAUAAUUCACAGUGGACAGAAGGUAGUAUAACAAGUAAGAGACCUUAGCAAUUUUUUUUCUGUCCCUUCAAAACUCUUAUCUAGGUUACCAGGAUUAGGACAAUACUAAACCAAUCAGUAGACUGAUUUAGUAAUCACACACCCUUAAUCCUAGUAUUGCGCUACAAAUCAAUCAUGUACUCUAGAUCCAGCCAUCUCUGAAAAAGCCCCACCUAUGACCCCAUGAGGCUCUGGAGGGACAUCUAAACACAAACCAUAACAGUGACAUUACAUUGCCUUAAACAGAUUAAUCACUCACACUGCUACAGCCUUACUCAGCUGGUGCUUUUCUACAAAAUUUUACAGUUUCCCACAUUUUACACAUCUCCCUAAUUGCAUUUGAAGUCAGGGAUUCAUCCAGCUUUUUCUUCUCCUCUUCUAGAGUUUGGAUCUCCUCCAUAACCUCCUGCUGAUGGGAGACCCACAAUCCUGCAGCCAGAGAGAGAACCACCAUUGGCUCAGUUGUGAUCCUGUGAUGUUUAGUGUCAUGUACUACUCGUAUUACAAGAAAUUGCUAAUUUAUUAAGUUAAAAUUUAUUAGAAAAGUCUGCGCAUCUUGCAAAACACUUGGGGAACAAAUUAGUUGUAAUCAAAGGUUUUACUGUGUUCUCAAUGCCUGUUGUCUGUUUCUCCGUAGUGAGUAGCAGGGUACUCCUCAUAAUGAGCAGUGCCAGUGAGCUUAUCUUUGAGGAAUAUAGGGAAGCAGGAAGAUACAGGGGUCAUGUGAUGCUUUAUAGCUGCUGAUGGAGGCAAAAGGAAGGACAGAAAGCCCAGGGAGAGAAUGUGUGUUAGCCACCAAGGAGAGGAAUGUGGGGCCACACCCUUGGCCUCGAGAAGAAUGAGAGAAGUAGACAAUUGGAGCCAGCUUGUUCUAAGAUCUUUUAAACCAAGAAACAGAUAGGCAGUUUGCUUUUCUCCCUUUCCUCUUCCCAUGGCCUUUCAGGUAAUUUGCAUCAAAAUAUUAAAACAACUCUUGGGUUCCUGAGAGCAAUUAGCAGAGAAGACAGCAUGCCACAAAAAUCUGGAACCACUCAUCUGACCAUAGCCUUUGCUUUCUGAAGGGGCUCUUAUGGGCGAACUAUGGAACAGCUGUUCCUGAAUAUAUCACGCCCCUACUCUCUCUGUCCCUUGCUCUGAGAAGACCUAGUGGAGUUGAGUCUGUGUGCAGACUUUCACAUGCUCACUGGAGCAGCUUUUUCGCUGAAAAUGCAUGGCAUUGUCACCAUCACAUGCAGGCUGGUAGUUACCUUUGGGGAAACUCUGCAAUCAUCAGAGAAGGGACAAAAAGAAGGAGAUUCCACUGCCUGGGCAAUGCUUGAUUAUUUCAGAUCACUUUAAGCUGAGAAAAAGAUGACUGCCGUGUACUUUGCAGUUGAGCAAGGAGUUGAAGAAAUAAGUCUCAUUGUUCAUGGGAUCCAAUUCUGCAUCAAGACUCUAUCUGCUGAAGACAUGAACCUUGUGGACAAGUCCAGGCCCAGGCUCUACCUCGGGUCUUGGCAAGAAUCCAGAAGUGCACGUCUGCUGGCUAAUGUCCACACCCUGAAGCAGAUUAUUAUUGCAAUGCCUUGCCUUCUACACCUGUGCUUGAAAAUAAUGCUAAAGAAAGAAUUUGCAACUCUGUUUUGGGCAAAGCCAUCACUUUGCAGGAAAUCCAGGCAUAGGAGAACAUGGAAAGCAAUGUUUAGCUCACUGAUACAUCAUCCAAAGCAGAAUGGGAGAUAUUCUAUAAGAUCAAAAUUGUUUCUUCAGAUAAGCGUAGAAAUGAACAAAAGGAUACAUUCAUUUGACCUAAAAGAGAUUUAGUGGAAGUAUCAACCUAAAGCAGUAUAUCACCUUUCUUGGAUCUUAGUUUAAACAUUUAGACAGAUCAACUGUGAAGACAAAUUUUGAAGACAGUAAGAGAAAAUUAAACAUGAACCCAUAUCUCUAAUUUUUACUGAAGUGAAAAAAGCCACCCUACAAUUCAGUGUACUAAGAUAAGAGCCACAUUGCUCUGUUCAUAUGUCCUGUGGGAGGGGGAUGUGGAGGUCUUCUUUGCCCCUCUUCAUCUGGAGCCUCAGGCAGGGAAACUUACCUGGCUGGGCUCAUCUGAGGAUGCUGAUUGGACAUUUCCAUGUGGCCUCUGAAUUCUGAGAGACCAUCAUGAGAGGAAAUUUCUGAAGACUGAACUUUCCAAAAGGACAAAAUGGAAGUCAGGAGACCUUUCUGACCUCAUCCCAGAAGCCAACACCCCCACACUCACAAUCUUUUGUUCCAGAAAGUGACCAAGGCCAAUCCACAGUCAAAGAGGGAGGAGGAACUAGAUUUUUCCUCUUGACGGAGAAGUAGCAAACUCAGCACUGCUGAAGAUGGUCACGGCUGCACAGGAUGGUCUUCUCUGCACAAAUAGGUAAAGGGAGGAACCCAGCAGUGUGGCCACCAGGAUCAGGUGGUUGUAACUUGCCCACGCUGCCUGCAGCUGCCUCCUGGUCUUCACACCGGUCGGCUCUGAGUUUGGAGCAGCCAGGAACCACUUCCCCCUCUGCACAAUGUCUCCCUCCAGCCUGUUUUACUGUUUUAGGAUGGCAUUUCUUCGCUCAAUUUGGUCCUCUCUGAUACAUCCUUAUUAUGGACUGAACUUUUGCAAAAAAAAAAAUCCUUUCUUCCAUUUUUAGAAAUGCUGGUUGUGUCCAUGAGCUAUUUGGAUUCAGUACUUCCAUUUUUUCCAAGGGGAUAAUAGGGAGGGUACACAUGAUCAGAGCUUGUUAUAUCCAUGUAUGAAAAUAUCACAUUGAAACUCACUAUUUUGUACAAUUCAUAUGAACUAGUAAUUUUAAUAAAUAACAUAUAUAUCUCCCAAUUUACUGCAAACUACUUGCAGUAUAAUGACUCACGAUUGCAUAUUAUAUCCCAUAUAUAUGCUUUAAUUUAUAAUUUCUGGACCUUUACAUUUGGGGCAUUUCUAAAUUUUUGCCCUUACCCUUAUUUACAGGAAUAAAUAUCUCUGUUUCAAUAUUUAGUCUCAUCAUUAAUCUUAUUUCCCUAGGAUGAGCUCUAAACUGGGAAGUUACAGUAAAAGAACAUGAUCUGUAACAUGACCAAUGAUAUAUUGCCAAAUUUAUUUUUAAAGAAUUUCUAUCCAUUUAUGGUUUUCUUCUCAACCCCAGCAGUGUAAGAGUAUCCGUGUCAGGGAGAGAGAGAGAGAAAGACGGAGAGACAGAGAGACCGAGAGACAGAGACAGGGACAGAGGAGAAAAAGACAAAGAAAACCUUCCCAUUAGAAUUUUUAGUAGAUAAAAAUGCUAAUGUUUAAAAAUUAUAUGUGUAAUAAGUGAAUACAAUUAUUUGGGAAAAUCAAAUCAGAAACAGGAGGAGUAAAGAAUGAGUUUCCUUCAUCCUCACAGUACCUUCUCCUCUCCAAAGGCAAAAUAUUUAGUGUAUAUCAUGCUGGGUUUUCAAAACUCCUUAUGAGUUAUGUUUAUAAAAGCAAAUAUGUAACUACUGUUGGAUUAAUUUUUCUGAUUUUUUAUUCAUGCAUUUGCACUGUGUACUAUUUCAAUCCUUGUAAUACUUGUUAGAAAAUAUAAUAAAUAUAUCAAACACA